CUUUCUCUCUCUCUCCCUCUCUCUUUCUCUCUCUCUCGCUUAACAGAAAACAAAAGAAAAAGUAAAAAAAUAAAAAUUUAAGGACUUUUAAAAGUCCUGUCGAUGCAGAUGCCCUAAGAGACCGUAUUUGGGGACACGUGUAGACAAAAGAGAGGAGAAGGAAGCUGAAGAACACGUUGUCGAUUUACCCUUCGCCGUCGGUACGGAUUCGAGCGGUGAGCUGUUUAACGAAGCGAACUGGGCUUCAGAUGUGAGUUAGGCGCGGAGAUCGCGGCAAGUGCGGCGGGAUUCCGGCAGAGAGAAGGAGGUAAUGUUGAGUUUGAUUAUGGUGACUCUGGGUACGAGAUUCUCGGUUGGAUCAAUGACCGUCUUCAUCUCAAUCCCUCUCGCAUCGAAGAGAGGGACUCUUCAUUCAGUUGAUCAGUACCUCAAUAUCAAGCUCGAGAACACUCGUGUUAUUGAUCAGAACAAGUUCCCUCACACGAGAGCAGAGCACCUGAGAUAUGUGGCUUCAUCACUGUGCUGACCGAACAAUUAUACUGCAUGGGACGAGGGAAGAGGAACAAGCUUUGUCUGGAACGUUGAGAUGGCAUAAAUCAGGGAAGAGCUUUAACCAAGAACAUCUAGUAAACUUGUACAGUCCUGAGUAUUAGCAAGCAAAGGUAAAACAGAUAACUUAAUCCAUCAUCAUCAUCAUCAUCUUUAUCUAUCUCUAGUGGGGGAACAAUCUAGUUGGUGUUGUGAUUGAUUGCUUUUGUUGCCAAGGCCAAGCCCUUAAUCAAACUACUCGACUUGUAAAGAUUUGUCACUGACUUUAAGAAUCAAACUGCUUGUGUCUAUAUAAAGUUGUAUGUAUCAAUUUUUUAUUCAAAAGACCAAAUUUUUUUUAAGAA